CAUUACAUGCAUUGUAAAGCAUGCUUUAAUUUAAAUUUAUUUAAUUUUUAUUUAUAUUUAUAUUUACACAUAUUACAAACCCAAUUCAAUAAUAUAUACGCACUUCGUUUGAUCGAAAUAACGUUAACCGCAGAGACGACGUCAUCGCUGAAGUUACAACAACAAAUUGAGCGGUUCCAAAAUAAUCACAAUCUAACAUCAUGGAACCUUUGCCAAUGUCAAGGAACAACGGCGCAGUUUUAGUAAAAAAGUCUACACUAUAAAAAAACACUUGACACACAGUGACAUAAAAAAAGUUUCCAUUUGAAUCCAAAAUAACUUUGAGUUUCUCAAACAUGCCAGUUCGGAUGUAUUGUCAAGUUCAAGUAAUUUGCCGUUUGAUGAUUUAGAUCUUGGCGUACGAUUGUUUUUUGUGAUAACGAUAGAGAUGAUUAUGAUGAUGAUGAUGAGAAAAGAUAUUCAUAUACAUCCAGGAGGUAGGC